UGGGGAAAAAAAAAGAUUAAAACAUAUAUGAGUGUGUGUAUAAUAAAUUAUUAUUAUUAUAAUAUAUGAUCUUUUUUAGUAUUUCCUCUGUCAUACUUGAAUUCAAAAUGCAUGUAACAGUGGGAACAUUUGUACAUAUUCACACCUGAUUAACUGUAUUUUGCCAAACUGCAAGAUGCUCUUGCACGCAAAGGAAGUAAGGUGCACCCCCUGUUGUGAAGCAGAAAAGUGCCAGCUUUUUCUUGUUGUGGUUACCGCUCACACAUUUCUUCCUAAUGUUUGAAGGAACCUGUCACAUGAUAUUUGUGGAAAUAGAAUAAAAAACUGUAAAGUCAGGAGACUGUGUUUUGACAACCACCGAAAGGAAGUUAUUGCUAAGUAGAUAAAUAUAACCACAGAGGUGAAGCUGAGUGACUGUUUGUAUUAAUGUUUUAUCCAAAUGAUUGUACAGCAUUGAUAACCCUAAUAACCUUAACAUAUACACUCAAGAACUGUUUUGUUCCUAUUUUCUUGUUUAGCUCUGAUUUAGCUGGGUCAAGCCAGAGUCGGGAGUCCAAGAUGAGCAGUAAGCAGGGACGGAGCUGUAUCGACCCUGUAGUUCAAAGUAAUAUGGAAGGUGCCAUGGGCACUGUAGUCCCCACGGGGCUCCCUAAAGCUGACAGCCUACCACACUAUUCCCAUGACAAAGCUCUACCAAUCAGCAGAGCUUAUUUCCCAUAUGCUUUUGGUGGACAAGACACUCUUGACUUUCCUUCUCCAUGGGGCCCUUCAAAAACUUGCAUGAGAAAUGGGCCGAGCCCGGGGAUUCACUCAUCGGCCACCGAGGGGUCAGUUCCAGUUCGAACCAUUUACAGGCCUGAUAAAGUGUCCUUCCCUGUGGAUGCUGGUGGUGGACGCUGUGCUGUACCGCAAGAGUUGGCAGCCAAGCAAAGGUUGGCCUAUUAUGCUAGCAGUCCCAGACAGCACAGUCCCAGGGCGGCUGGAGUCAUCUCUCCAGUGCCAGUUCCCAAGGGUCACAAUGGAGGAUCAGAUGCAGAAAGCUGUGUUGGGUUGGCUAUUCCAAAACCGGUAUAUGGUCAUAGCCCCUGCUGCACUGAGCGUGGAUGCACCGCAGGGCACUACGGUGUGGAACAUGGACCACAAAGGAUGUCCCCUCGCAUAUAUGAUGAAGAAUGGGCUGCUCAUUUUAGCCGCCUGGCUUACCUGCAUAAAAAGGGCCAGGAGGCAUUUGCACAACAGAGGGUUUUGCAGUUAGAGCAUGGCACGGAGGGUAUAAAAGAUGGGAAGACUGAGAGUUACCAUGGUAUUAGAUCAAACGAACCCAGGAGGUCACUUUCUUUAAUGCAACCAAGCUAUUCUUACAACACUGCACAUCAAUUUAUUGGUUCCACACCAGAGUACUGCCAACGUGCCCCAAUUCCCCCACAGAUAUACAAGGGUCUUCCCCACACUUAUGACUCAAGGGCAUUGGCACACCAUGGAGUUCCUUCAAAAGUAUAUCAGGAACUUCCUCGCAUAUCUAAAUACACACCAAUGCCUCCAUGUCCCACUGUCUAUUACCCUCAGAAUCACCAUGAGGCUUACCAAGCCGAUCACAAUGUUAUUACAGAUGAGCAUGGUCAGCAUCAUCACAUGGGUCAGUUCCAUUCCCCUCGAGCUGACUUGAUGUCACCGUCCUGCUCUGUUGUACCCCCACACCAUCCAAUAAUUCCAAAAUAUCCUACUUAUCAAUCGUAUAGGGUGCAUUUUAAUAGUAACCAAGCACCCAUGCAUGAUAGGCCACACCCACCUUUCUCUGUGCAUCAAUCAGAGCGUCCACUUGAUUUCUCCAUACGAAGGGUGCAGACACCCGACUCCCCUUGGGAGCUUUCCAAACAGUCUGGAACCACUGGGGCUUUUCAUCCUUUUCCGGCCCACUACAGACGCCUCAGUAACACCACUACUCUUGAACACUCUGAGAUGUCUGAAACUGGCUUUCUUGUAAGCAGUUCCAAAGAAUUUCCCACAAAGUCCCGUGAAGAUGUAAUUAAGAUAAGGCAUUGUGUUUCAGAUCCACCGGACAAAGAUGUAUUAGCUAAAAGGCCCAGAGAGGAACUUGAAAUGGACAUGGCCAGUAAAAGGCAAAAGAUUGACUCAACCCAUGAGUUGUCAGAUAAUGAGCCUCAGUCACCGUCCUCCCCACUCAUGCCAGUUAUUAAUAAGGUUUUUAGCUUGGCUCCUUAUAAAGUUUAUUUCGAAGCUACAGGCAUGUUGUCUUCUCUAGGAAAUUCAAAUCCACAGCCAGAGGCGACACUGCUUAAACAAGAGCCGGAAAUUCAA
ensembl:lncRNA